rnacentral:rRNA from 1 species
AUUGAACGCUGGCGGCAGGCCUAACACAUGCAAGUCGAACGAGUGGCGGACGGGUGAGUAAUGUCUGGGAAACUGCCUGAUGGAGGGGGAUAACUACUGGAAACGGUAGCUAAUACCGCAUACCAUCAGAUGUGCCCAGAUGGGAUUAGCGAGUUGGUGGGGUAACGGCUCAACAAGGCGACGAUACCUAGCUGGUCUGAGAGGAUGACCAGCCACACUGGAACUGAGACACGGUCCAUACUCCGACGGGAGGCAGCAGUGGGGAAUAUUGCACGAGUGGCGCAAGCCUGAUGCAGCCAUGCCGCGUGUAUGAAGAAGGCCUUCGGUUUGGAAAGUACUGUCAGCGGGGAGGCGUUACCCGCAGAAUAAGCACCGGCUAAGUCCGUGCCAGCAGCCGCGGUAAUUC